rnacentral:rRNA from 1 species
AUUGAACGCUGGCGGCAGGCCUAACACAUGCAAGUCGAGCGGUAACAGGUCCUUCGGGAUGCUGACGAGCGGCGGACGGGUGAGUAAUGCAUAGGAAUCUGCCCGGUAGUGGGGGAUAACCUGGGGAAACCCAGGCUAAUACCGCAUACGUCCUACGGGAGAAAGGGGGCUCCGGCUCCCGCUAUUGGAUGAGCCUAUGUCGGAUUAGCUAGUUGGUGAGGUAAUGGCUCACCAAGGCAACGAUCCGUAGCUGGUCUGAGAGGAUGAUCAGCCACAUCGGGACUGAGACACGGCCCGAACUCCUACGGGAGGCAGCAGUGGGGAAUAUUGGACAAUGGGCGCAAGCCUGAUCCAGCCAUGCCGCGUGUGUGAAGAAGGCCCUCGGGUUGUAAAGCACUUUCAGCGAGGAAGAACGCCUAGGGGUUAAUACCCCCGAGGAAAGACAUCACUCGCAGAAGAAGCACCGGCUAACUCCGUGCCAGCAGCCGCGGUAAUACGGAGGGUGCAAGCGUUAAUCGGAAUUACUGGGCGUAAAGCGCGCGUAGGUGGCUUGAUAAGCCGGUUGUGAAAGCCCCGGGCUCAACCUGGGAACGGCAUCCGGAACUGUCAAGCUAGAGUGCAGGAGAGGAAGGUAGAAUUCCCGGUGUAGCGGUGAAAUGCGUAGAGAUCGGGAGGAAUACCAGUGGCGAAGGCGGCCUUCUGGACUGACACUGACACUGAGGUGCGAAAGCGUGGGUAGCAAACA